rnacentral:rRNA from 1 species
UCUGGUUGAUCCUGGCAGUAGUUAUAUGCUUGUCUCCAAGAUUAAGCCAUGCAUGUCUAAGUACACAUGCAUUAAAAGUGAAACCGCAAAAGGCUCAUUAUAUCAUUUAUGGUUCCUUAGAUCGUUAACAGUUACUUGGGCUAAAACCAAGUGAUCGCAAGAUCGUUAAUUGGUUGAACUCUAGAUAACAUGCAGAUCGUAUGGUCUUGUACCGACGUUAGAUCUUUCAGAUGUCUGCCCUAUCAACUAUUGCUGGUAGUAUCUAGGACUACCAUGGUUGCAACGGGUAACGGGGAAUCAGGGUUCGAUUCCGGAGAGGGAGCCUGAGAAACGACUACCACAAUCUAAGGAAGGGCAGCAGGCGAGUAAAUUACCCACUCCCAGCUCGGGGAGGUAGUGACGAAAAAAUAACAAUACAGGACUCAUAAUCCGAGGCCCUGUAAAUUGGAAUGAGUACACUUUAAAUCCUUUAACUAGGACCAAUUGGAGGGCAAGUCUAGUGCCAGCAGCCCGCGGUAAUUCCAGCUCCAAUCGCGUAUAUUAAAGUUGUUGCGGUUAAAACGUUCGUAGUUUAACUUGUGCUUCAUACGGGUAGUACAACAUACAUUUGUAGUUAGUACUAUACCUUACGUAUGUAAGCGUAUUACCGGUGGAGUUCCUAUAUAUCUUUAAAUACUUGUAUUUUUCAUAUGUUCCUCCUAUUUAAAAACCUGCAUUAGUGCUCUUAAACGAGUGUUAUUGUGGGCCGGUACAAUUACUUUAAACAAAUUAGAGUGCUUAAAGCAGGCUUCAAAUGUCUGAAUAUUCUGUGCAUGGGAUAAUGAAAUAAGACCUCUGUUCUGCUUUCAUUGGUGUUUUCAGUAUCAAGAGGUAAUGAUUAAUAGAAGCAGAUUGGGAGCAUUAGUAUUACGACGCGAGAGGUGAAUUUCUUGGACCAUCGUAAGACUAACUUAAGCGAAAGCAUUUGCCAAAGAUGUUUUCAUUAAUCAGAACGGAAGUUAGAGGUUCGAAGGCGAUCAGAUACCGCCCUAGUUCUAACCAUAAACGAUGCCAGCUAGCAAUUGGGUAUAGCUACUUUUAUGGCUCUCUCAGUCCGCUUCCCGGGAAACCAAAGCUUUUGGGCUCCGGGGAAAGUAUGUUUGAAAAGCUGAAACUUAAAGGAAUUGUCGGAAGGGCACCACCAGGAGUGGAGCCUGCGGCUUAAUUUGACUCAACACGGGAAAACUUACCAGGUCCGAACAUAAUUGUAUAAGACAGACUGAUAGCUCUUUCUCGAAUCUAUGGGUGGUGGUGCAUGGCCGUUCUUAGUUCGUGGAGUGAUUUGUCUGGUUAAUUCCGAUAGCGAACGAGACUCAAAUAUAUUAAAUAGAUAUCUUCAGGAUUAUGGGGUUGAAGCUUAUAUGGCUUCAUUCAUGGUGGCAGUAAAAUGUUUAUUGUGUUUGAUGUGUUUAUGUAAGUGGAGCCGCACCUGUUGGUUUGUCACAUUUUAAGGAUACUAGCUUCUUAAAUGGACAAAUCGCGUCUAGCAUAAUGAGAUUGAGCAAUAACAAGUCUGUUAUUCAAGUAUUGUCUUGAAAAAUAUAUAUAUAUAUAAUUAAAUAUCUUCUUCAAAAAUGGUUUGAAAAAAAAUAUAUUUUUAUUUGAGUUCCGUUUUUUGAUACAGUGUGAUUUUUAAAAACUGCUUAGAAUUUUUGGAGUUUCAGAACUAACUUAACUUUGGGGCUCUAAGUCCCUUUUAUAGCUACCCUUGCUGAAGCUUUUUGCAGAUCAAAGCUCGAAAGAAGCUUUUCUCUCAGAGAGGCUUUGUUUUUCUGAAGG